rnacentral:rRNA from 1 species
CGUAGGCGCGAGCGUUGUCCGGAAUUAUUGGCGUAAGAGCUCGUAGGCGGCUGGUCGCGUCUGCCGUGAAGCCCGCGGCUUAACCGUGGGUCUGCGGUGGAUACGGGCCGGCUAGAGGCAGGCAGGGCAAGUGGAAUUCCUGGUGUAGCGGUGAAAUGCGCAGAUAUCAGGAGGAACACCGGUGGCGAAGGCGGCUUGCUGGGCCUGUCCUGACGCUGAGGAGCGAAAGCGUGGGAGCGAACAGGAUU